UUGUAUGUGGCAGGCUUUCAUU
rnacentral:miRNA from 1 species